CAGUAGCCGCGGUAAAACGGAGGGGGCAAGCGUUAUCCGGAAUUAUUGGGCGUAAAGGGUACGUAGGUGGCCUUUUAAGCGUAGGGUAUAAGGCAAUGGCUCAACCAUUGUUCGCCCUAUGAACUGGAAGGCUUGAGUGCAGGAGAGGAAAGCGGAAUUCCUAGUGUAGCGGUGGAAUGCAUAGAUAUUAGGAGGAACAUCAGCGGCGAAGGCGGCUUUCUGGACUGCAACUGACACUGAGGUACGAAAGCGUGGGGAGCAAACAGGAUUAGAUACCCGAGUAGUCCCUGUCUCUUAUACA
rnacentral:rRNA from 1 species